CUACACGAUGGAUCUGGCGAAAUCGAGUCUGGCAAUUAGCUAGACGCACACUUUUUAGCAGAAUUUUUUGGAUACAAAAGUGGAGUACGAUUUUUCGAUUUUUCUUUCAAAAACGGUCUCACAGGUGCCCAGGCCCCAGGACCCAGGUGGUACGACGACUUUUCGCCGCUGACCGCCCCUCCUUCCACCAUCCAUCCCCAACUCCCACCUGCUCCCGCCUUGCCUGCUCCUCCGUUGACCUUGUCGCCGGAGACCUGUACACUCCCCCCUGCGUCCGCCUCCUUCUCGGUCCAAUCUACCCUUCCUUCGGCGAGCCGUAUCAGCCUGACGACCCUCGCGAGAUCUGUGCUUAGGUACUGGCCGCCAUGGAUGGCCGCGGAGGAAAUGCUCGGCCGCGUCCCGUGAGGAUCCCAGCCGCCAAGAUUGAAGUUUUCCGAGGGUGACGAUGGCGAUACGCGCAUCACCGUCUCCCACUCCGGCUACGUGGCGCAGAGCCUGGCCUCGUCCUACGGCCUGCGACGCACCACCUGCUGUGUCCUCCAGGACGCGCUCUCCCGCCACUUCUGCCCCUUCGCCUCCUCCCGCUGCCGGGGCGACCAAGCCUGUCCCCGCCACCGGAGGCAGACACCUCACCAAGGCUCCGAUGGAGGCAGCUAGUCGCUAUUUGUAUCGCCGCCUGGGUCAAAGGCGCCCGUCGAUGACCAGCCGGGUCGCUGGCGGUGGGGUUGCUGUCGGUGCUCGCGUCGGUGGUGUAUCCCCGCUGUCGGCCUUGCCGUCGAUAUCUCUCCCAUUUCAUUAUUAGAAGAGGAGAACCAGGACAAUUUACAACCACGAGUCAAAGAAGGGGAUAGAUUCCCUUCGGUGACUACCUACCGAAAGAAACUAAUGGAUUACUCCCAAAACACCUCUCUGAUGAGGGAAACAUCAUCUUUGAUUAGGUGAAACACUCUCUCAGGAGUCAAAGACCGACACCAUCCUGCCUGGCUCAUGACUGCACGACGGACUGGUCAACUCGCUCCUACUUCUCAGGCGCUAUAGCAUCUCGCUGCUCAGGAUGGACAGCUUUGUACAGAUUUGUGUCUUCCUGCUCCUUUGAUUGGUAAUUUGACUUGCAGUUUUGUUUGACAUGAUUGGCUUAGUAAUGAUAGGUUUGAUGCUUUGAUAGAUUGUAUCUAUGAUGGUUUUGCUAGCUCCUAUUCCUGUCUUGAGUACUUGGCUGCAAAGGCUAUUGUAUGCCCAACAAAUACUGUUGUUGAUGCUAUCAACGAGUGUGUUGCUGCUAGAGUUCCAUCUGAAAGUCGGUAGUAUUUGAGUGCGGAUAAGGUCGACGCGGGGUCAGAACAGAUUCCGAAUGUAGAUGUUUUGUAUACAGAGGAUAUCCUCAAUGCUAUCAUACCACCGAAUUAUCCGGAUCAUCCCGUGGUACUCAAGGUUGGCAUGCCUGUUAUUUUAAUAAGGAAUCUGAAUCAGGGAAUGGGACUGUGUAAUGGUACAAGGCUGUUGAUUACCAGGCUAGCCGAUUGUGUGCUUGUGGUUACUGUGAUGACUGGUUUAGCUAUUGCGCAGUUGGUUUGCAUUCCGAGAAUAGUUUUGAGUGUGAAUGAUCGGAAGUGGCCAUUUGUCUUGCAGCGCCGACAGUUCCCUUUUGAGUAUGCUAUGCAUUUACUACUUACUAUCGAUAAAAGCCAGGGUCCGACAUUGAAGAAAGUUGGAAUCAUCUAUCUACAGAACCCAGUUUUUUACACAUGGUCAACUUUAUGGGGCUGUUUUUUCGAGUUACCUCUCCUGAGGGCCUUAAGGUUCUUAUAGCUGAAGAAGAUGGUUCUUGUGACAAUGAGACUAGGAAUAUAGUGUAUAGGGAGGUGCUAGAUGCAGUCAGGGACUAGCUAGCCUGUAGUUUUUAGUUUCCUUUUGGCAGGGCUGUAGUCUUUGUUUGAUGUAUCAUGUAUGACUGCUAUGCUUCGUGUGUUGUAAUCUUUUGCCGUCGUGUGCCUAUUCUGUACUUAAGUUUGUCUGGUAUAUGGUUUUACUGGAUGAUAUGUAUCUUUUUGGUUUUAAUGAGUGCAGGACCGUUUUGUUUGGUAUCGAUUUUUGUUUUCAAUUCUUGAGCGCCGCUUUUUUCUGGUAAUUCCGCUUGUCAGUUUUGUCAAUAUGACGGGCCUUUUGGUGUUCCAGUUGCUGGUUGACGGGCCUUCUGUUCCUUUGCUGUUGAUGUUUUAUUAGGUUCGCUGUCUUCAGUGGCUGGUUAUUGAUAACGUGAUAUGCGCCCAGUACGGUCAGUUAGUGCCUCGAGCAGACAGGAACAACGAUCCAAGCUUCGCGCGCUCACCAAACGAAGAUUUCAGCUUCAUCAUCACGCAGCUGUUGCGUCAUAGGGAGAUCACCAACGAAAUGUUCCCUCGCAAGAACUGGAAGACAAUGAUAAAGGCGUUCGACUAGGUCAUGGGCAAACAAUCCGACAAGAAACAAGCUUCAAAGUCGUCCUGUUGAAGAUUCAUUUGCCUGCGACAUCGGCGCUCAGCCCUAGCCGACUUGACGACACUACCUCACCCACGCCCACGACGAACAAAGCUUGUAACAUCAGCGUCCUACUACACAGUUGCCGCAAAACCUAAAAUCAGGUCUGAUCACUGCAAUUCGAAUAAAAAAUAAGUUCUCAUAAUUACACAUUAAUCAUGAUGAACUUCGUAUUCAGUUAACCAUCACACUACGGCAACAGCCCGCUACGUCGACGGCUUCUAAGCCGUCGGCAGAGCCCAGAUUGCCGGCGGCAUAGCUCCCUCGGCGUAACAAGCUGUCGGCGUAGCCCUGAUGCCGUCAGCCUAGAAUAGGCCAGAAUUUUUUUUCCAAUUUUUUUUCUAAAAUAUUUUUCCUAAAUUUUUAUUAUUUGAAUUGUUUAACUGAUUAAUCACACUAGAGACAUAUUUAUCUUUAUCUCUAAGCAUUCUUAAUUUCAAUUUAAAUUCCUCAGAUGGCUCCAGCCCCAGCACGCUUACCUUCUUAAUUCAUUCCCUAUGAGGGACCUAGAAACAACGGAUGCUUUGUUGAUAAUAGUAUCCUAUCAAUCCUUUUAACCCUUGGACCAUGAUGUCACACGCCUUUAUUUUGUGAAUCCAAAUAAUUAUUUAAGUAAAAAAUGAAUAAGUAAUAAUAAUCUCGAUUUCAAAUAAUCUUGAAUUCAAAUAAUAAUUAACGUUUUUUUGUCUUUUUCCAAUUAAUAUUGAAUAAUUCAUAUCUACAAAUCCGUAAAUCAAAAUUUAACAAAUAAUGUCUAAAUCAAUUAGAAAAAUGAGAGGAAUCCAAAUAUGACAUCCAUAUCAUCUUUUCCAUCAUGUAUAGGCUUUACUAAGUGGGGUGUUGAGUGUGUGGUAUAGGGUCACCCCUGGGCAAAUUAGGUGUCGAAACUAGGGUUUCUAGAGGAAACAUGCCAAACUUGGUCACCAAAUGAUCAAACCAUGUUGGAAUGGGCCAAGAUUUAGCACAGUGGGGUACCAUGGCAUUGCAAACCAACAUAGCCCUGGGUUUGGGGUCUUGGGUGUGUGGUAGAGGGUCACACCCAGAAAAAUUAGGUGUCGAAAAUAGGGUUUCUGGGUAAACAGGCCAAACUUGGGCACCUAAUGAUCAAACCAUGUUGGAAUGGUCCAAGAUUUGGCACAGUGGAGCAUAAUGGCAUUGCAAACAAACAUAGACCUAGGUUUGGGGAGUUGGGUGUGUAGUAUAGGGUCACCCCCAGGCAAAUUAGGUGUCGAAACAGGCCAAACUUGGGCACCAAAUGAACAAACCAUGUUAGAGUGGGCCAAGAUUUGGCAUAGUGGAGCACAAUGGAAUUGAAAAACCAUAACACACUUGUACACACUUGGUAUGGCACCAGCUAGUUUUUGGUUGGAUUUCGACGCUCGGUAGCCCCUUUCCAGCGAAACCCUAGCCCCGCUGGAGAAAAGCCCAGCUUAUACGUCUACACCCGGUACCGGCGUCAAAAGAGGGUAGCAAAGUGCAACUUUUUUGCUUGGUUGUGUUAGGGUAGCCCCUAGGAACACCCAAAACAAAGUUAUACCCCGACUCUUCACAAGAUUCCCUCUGAUUCGUCCGAAGUGGGAGAUUCCAGCUAUAAGUCCAGAAACUCACUAGAGAGAAAUUGAUGACAGUGAACCCGCUAACACCCCGGAGUGGAAUCUUGGACAUAUACAACCCAAAACACACUUGUACACACUUGGUAUGGCACCACCUAACUUUUGGUUGGAUUCAGACGCUCCGUAGCCCCUCUCCGGCGAAACCCUAGCCCCGCUGGAGAAAAGCCCAGCUUAUACGUCUACACCCGGUACCGGCGUCAAAGGAGGGUAGCAAAGUGCAACUUUUUGCUUGGUUGUGUUAGGGUAGCCCAUAGGAACACCCAAAACAAAUUUAUACCAGAACUCUUCACAAGAUUCCCUCCGGUUCGCCCUUUCAUCGACGGUCUUCACCCUUUAUUGUUGGUUCCGUCCUUGCUCAUGGAAAUUUUUGAAGAAUAUAGCAUGAACAAUGUGUAUUAUGAUGUAGAUCUCCUCCUCCUCUUCGAAACGAGCUAAAGAACAUAAAAAUCCGAAUUCGAAUGCAAAAGUUAUGCUCAAAACGGUGAGUAAGUCAAAAAAAAAAAACAGAGCUACGCCGAGGGCAUUGCCCUCGGCGUAGGAAAAUACAGAACUACGCCGAAUGAUAUUCCAAGUGGUUCUCCGAACUUAGUACUAAUAUUGG